rnacentral:rRNA from 1 species
UACGGGGGGGGCAAGCGUUGUUCGGAAUUACUGGGCGUAAAGGGCUCGUAGGCGGCCAACUAAGUCAGACGUGAAAUCCCCAGGCUUAACCUGGGAACUGCGUCUGAUACUGGAUGGCUUGAAUUCGGGAGAGGGAUGCAGAAUUCCAGGUGUAGCGGUGAAAUGCGUAGAUAUCGGGAGGAACACCAGUGGCGAAGGCGGUUCUCUGGGCCUUACCUGACGCUGAGGAGCGAAAGCGUGGGGAGCGAACAGG